GAUGAACGCUAGCUACAGGCUUAACACAUGCAAGUCGAGGGGAAACGACAGAGGAAGCUUGCUUCCUUUGGGCGUCGACCGGCGCACGGGUGAGUAACGCGUAUCCAACCUUCCCGCAAGUAAGGGAUAACCCGUAGAAAUGCGGCCUAAUACCUUAUGUUUUCCUUAGAGGGCAUCUGAUGAGGAACAAAGAUCCGUCGCUUGCGGAUGGGGAUGCGUCUGAUUAGUUAGUCGGCGGGGUAACGGCCCACCGAGACGACGAUCAGUAGGGGUUCUGAGAGGAAAGUCCCCCACAUUGGAACUGAGACACGGUCCAAACUCCUACGGGAGGCAGCAGUGAGGAAUAUUGGUCAAUGGGCGGAAGCCUGAACCAGCCAAGUAGCGUGCAGGACGACGGCCCUAUGGGUUGUAAACUGCUUUUGAUUGGGAACAAAGAGCGCCACGUGUGGUGCGUUGCGUGUACCUUUCGAAUAAGCAUCGGCUAAUUCCGUG
rnacentral:rRNA from 1 species